rnacentral:lncRNA from 1 species
UCGUAAGAUUUAUACAAGUGAUAACAAGUUUUAUUAAUCCAUUCAUUUUAAUAGUCGGUAGAUACUACAAUAUUUAAGAAUGUAGCGACUGAUCACCCGCCACCCCGUGUACAAAUAAUGAAAGCAUCCAAUUCAAAACGCGAGGAUUUUGUGUAGUGUGUAUAACCGACUACGGCUGCAGAAUAUACAGUCUCUGGUGUUGAUGGAAAGGAUUGUUUACCUAGAGGCAGCUUGGUAUGACAUGUUGCAAAGCUUUCUGUUUGAUUAACAGAUAAUAAAUACUGCAGGCACUAGCAAAUUAUACUUACCUAGCAGUUGCGGUAUUCCAGCCAUGGAGUCAUAAUCUUAGAAUAAAGGUCUCGGUGUUUAGGUGAAUCUGAGGAAAGUCCAAAAUAUUGCAACAGUUUUACUGUUCCAGUUGUUAAAAUUGUAAGCAAAGACGUAUGCUGGCUUAAACACAUCAACAAGACAACAAAACACUCAUUUCAUUCAGCUGCAGAUACUUCUGUUCUCAAAUAUGUAUUGACAGUACCUGUGUCAGAUGUACUGGCAAACAUGUUAUAUCUUCAUUUUUGUCGAGCCCGCUUGCGGAAGCAAAGAUAGAUGUCCAAAUGGCUGUUCUGUGUAUGUGCGUGUGUGCGUCCGUCCGUCCGUCAGGAUUUGUUUGUCCGGACCAUAACUUUGACAUGCGUGGAGUAAUCUCGUUUAUAAUUGGCAUGA